rnacentral:tRNA from 1 species
GGCAUCAUAGUGUAGUGGUUUGAGCAUUGGAUGACAACUCUGGAGACCAGGGUUCAAUUCCCUGCUUGGCCA